CCGACCUCUAAUCGGAAAAGACCACCCGCUGAGUUUA
rnacentral:rRNA from 1 species